CUCGAAGGGAGUGGUGGCCCUAUGUAGUGCUGGUCCCUGCGGGAGGGAUGUAAUGUAACUCCGGAUCUGUUUGUACUUGAGGCGUAUUAGGAAAGUGUGUUCUUCGCUCCCCCUCAGACCCUUGAGUGUCUUUAUGCCGUCCGUGGUUUGUAUGUGUCUGAGUCUGGGUAGCGGGUCCUGUAUUAGGUCUUUGAAUGCGUUCGGGUCCAUCCCCGGCAUGAACUCAGG